GACGAACGCUGGCGGCGUGCUUAACACAUGCAAGUCGAACGGAAAGGCCCUGCUUCUGUGGGGUGCUCGAGUGGCGAACGGGUGAGUAACACGUGAGUAACCUGCCCUUGACUUUGGGAUAACUUCAGGAAACUGGGGCUAAUACCGGAUAGGAGCUCCUGCUGCACGGUGGGGGUUGGAAAGUUUCGGCGGUUGGGGAUGGACUCGCGGCUUAUCAGCUUGUUGGUGGGGUAGUGGCUUACCAAGGCUUUGACGGGUAGCCGGCCUGGGAGGGUGACCGGCCACAUUGGGACUGAGAUACGGCCCAGACUCCUACGGGAGGCAGCAGUGGGGAGUAUGGCACAAUGGGCGGGAGCCUGAUGCAGCAACGCCGCGUGCGGGAUGACGGCCUUCGGGUUGUAAACCGCUUUCGCCUGUGACGAAGCGUGAGUGACGGUAAUGGGUAAAGAAGCACCGGCUAACUACGUG
rnacentral:rRNA from 1 species